UAUGUUUUUAUACUCGUUCCGAAGUACCUAGACAAACAGAGUUUGUACGCGCGCUAACGUUGAUUGUGUACGCGGACUGGAAGUAAGUCGGUAAAUAAUUCACGGACAAAGAAAAAUACAUUAUGCGUAGUCUAUUAGUCACGUUUGUACCCCGUACAUCCAGGGCAAUAGGGGGCCAAGUAUGGGUUCGCGAUAGAUUACGGGCUCGCGGACGAAAACGGCAAUGAUUAUGUUGGUCAACAGCAUUUACCCGCCGGCGCCCGAUAAGAACGUUCCCGAACUUCGCGGGUACCUAAAUCGCGCAUCGAGAAAACGGGACGUAGAGAAAUCGCGCUGACGCGCCGAAUAAUACUGCGGGCGAUGUUUUCCUUCGGAGUCGCAUCCGCGCUCGUGUCUGGCCGAAUUAUUCGAUUUCCGCGCGCGCCGCGUUAACGUUAACGUUUAGUAUACGCGCGCACUUAACGAGCGAAUCGUGAACCAAUGCUCCGAUCGUCCGGUUGGAUUUCGUUAUUUGAAUGUGCCCGCGUCGAAACAAUAACUGUUGAAACGUCCACGCCCCGACGCACGCGAAUGUUCUAGAAAGCCCGAGCGAGUUUCUUUGAGA